GAUGAAGAACGCAGCGAAAUGCGAUAAGUAAUGUGAAUUGCAGAAUUCAGUGAAUCAUCGAAUCUUUGAACGCACAUUGCGCCCGCUAGUAUUCUGGCGGGCAUGCCUGUUCGAGCGUCAUUUCAACCAUCAAGCCCUGCUUGUGUUGGGGUCCUGCGGCUGCCCGCAGGCCCUGAAAACCAGUGGCGGGCUCGCUAGUCACACCGAGCGCAGUAGCACAUCUCGCUCAGUGCGUGCGGCGGGUUCUUGCCGUAAAACACCCCCUUUUUACCAAGGUUGACCUCGGAUCAGGUAGGAAUACCCGCUGAACUUAAGCAUAUCAAUAAGCGGAGGA
rnacentral:misc_RNA from 1 species